ACUCCUACGGGAGGCAGCAGUGGGGGAAUAUUGCACAAUGGGGGAAACCCUGAUGCAGCCAUGCCGCGUGUGUGAAGAAGGCCUUCGGGUUGUAAAGCACUUUCAGUAGGGAGGAAGGUAGUGUAGUUAACACCUGCAUUAUUUGUACGUUACCUACAGAAGAAGCACCGGCUAACUCCGUGCCAGCAGCCGCGGUAAUACGGAGGGUGCGAGCGUUAAUCGGAAUUACUGGGCGUAAAGCGCAUGCAGGCGGCCUGUUAAGUCAGAUGUGAAAGCCCGGGGUCUUAACCUCGGAAUUGCAUUUGAAACUGGCAGGCUAGAGUCUUGUAGGAGGGGUUAGGAAUUUCGAGGUGUAGCGGUGAAAUGCGUAGAGAUCU
rnacentral:rRNA from 1 species